rnacentral:rRNA from 1 species
GGAGGGUGCAAGCGUUGUUCGGAAUUACUGGGCGUAAAGCGCGCGUAGGCGGUUUUAUAAGUCAGAUGUGAAAGCCCUCGGCUCAACCGGGGACGUGCAUUUGAAACUGUGAGACUUGAGUAUUGGAGGGGGUGGUGGAAUUCCCGGUGUAGAGGUGAAAUUCGUAGAUAUCGGGAGGAAUACCAGUGGCGAAGGCGACCACCUGGCCAAGUACUGACGCUAAGGUGCGAAAGCGUGGGGAGCAAACAGGAUUAGAUACCCUGGUAGUCCACGCCGUAAACGAUGUCAACUAGGUGUUGGGACGGUUAAUCGUCUCAUUGCCGCAGCUAACGCAUUAAGUUGACCGCCUGGGGAGUACGGUCGCAAGAUUA